AACCGUAAAAGCUACUUCCUUAUUAAACGAAAGUUUAUUCAAAAUCGUAGUUUAACAUUAGUUUUCAUAUAUUGUGACAAAUAAAGUCUUAAGUUAUUUUCUCAAAUUGAAAAACUUUAUGUGAUAUCUUAAUAUGAGGAUAAGUUGUUAUAAUAUAUUUAUAUAAAACUAUAUUAUAUAUAUUCUUACACGUGAUAAACGUGCUACUUCUUUAACAGGUCCUUGCUAACAUUAUAAUUGUGGACAAAUGAAUAUCAGGGAUACAGAUAUGAAAAACACUCUACUGGGACAACUGGGUCUAAUUUUACUUUUGUGUAACAUAGUUCUAGCAUUGAAUGAAUGUGGCUGGUAAAUGGAACAUCAAGAUGUGAAUACAACAACAAUGGAGACGCUGUUUGCUUGGAUGGUUGUAAUUGUCAGUUGUGUACAUGCUUGUAGUAACAAUUGUGUGAUAUGUUCUGGUGUAAGCAGUUGUAACACAUGCAAAAAUGGCUUCUAUAUUGGUUAUAAU